GGAAGCGUGGCAGAGCGGUUGAAUGUACCGGUCUUGAAAACCGGAGUACCCGAAAGGGUACCAGAGGUUCGAAUCCUCUCGCUUCCGCCA
rnacentral:tRNA from 1 species